rnacentral:rRNA from 1 species
UUUAUGGAGAGUUUGAUCCUGGCUCAGGAUGAACGCUGGCGGCGUGCCUAAUACAUGCAAGUCGAGCGAACGGACGAGAAGCUUGCUUCUCUGAUGUUAGCGGCGGACGGGUGAGUAACACGUGGAUAACCUACCUAUAAGACUGGGAUAACUUCGGGAAACCGGAGCUAAUACCGGAUAAUAUUUUGAACCGCAUGGUUCAAAAGUGAAAGACGGUCUUGCUGUCACUUAUAGAUGGAUCCGCGCUGCAUUAGCUAGUUGGUAAGGUAACGGCUUACCAAGGCAACGAUGCAUAGCCGACCUGAGAGGGUGAUCGGCCACACUGGAACUGAGACACGGUCCAGACUCCUACGGGAGGCAGCAGUAGGGAAUCUUCCGCAAUGGGCGAAAGCCUGACGGAGCAACGCCGCGUGAGUGAUGAAGGUCUUCGGAUCGUAAAACUCUGUUAUUAGGGAAGAACAUAUGUGUAAGUAACUGUGCACAUCUUGACGGUACCUAAUCAGAAAGCCACGGCUAACUACGUGCCAGCAGCCGCGGUAAUACGUAGGUGGCAAGCGUUAUCCGGAAUUAUUGGGCGUAAAGCGCGCGUAGGCGGUUUUUUAAGUCUGAUGUGAAAGCCCACGGCUCAACCGUGGAGGGUCAUUGGAAACUGGAAAACUUGAGUGCAGAAGAGGAAAGUGGAAUUCCAUGUGUAGCGGUGAAAUGCGCAGAGAUAUGGAGGAACACCAGUGGCGAAGGCGACUUUCUGGUCUGUAACUGACGCUGAUGUGCGAAAGCGUGGGGAUCAAACAGGAUUAGAUACCCUGGUAGUCCACGCCGUAAACGAUGAGUGCUAAGUGUUAGGGGGUUUCCGCCCCUUAGUGCUGCAGCUAACGCAUUAAGCACUCCGCCUGGGGAGUACGACCGCAAGGUUGAAACUCAAAGGAAUUGACGGGGACCCGCACAAGCGGUGGAGCAUGUGGUUUAAUUCGAAGCAACGCGAAGAACCUUACCAAAUCUUGACAUCCUUUGACAACUCUAGAGAUAGAGCUUCGGGGACAAAGUGACAGGUGGUGCAUGGUUGUCGUCAGCUCGUGUCGUGAGAUGUUGGGUUAAGUCCCGCAACGAGCGCAACCCUUAAGCUUAGUUGCCAUCAUUAAGUUGGGCACUCUAAGUUGACUGCCGGUGACAAACCGGAGGAAGGUGGGGAUGACGUCAAAUCAUCAUGCCCCUUAUGAUUUGGGCUACACACGUGCUACAAUGGACAAUACAAAGGGCAGCGAAACCGCGAGGUCAAGCAAAUCCCAUAAAGUUGUUCUCAGUUCGGAUUGUAGUCUGCAACUCGACUACAUGAAGCUGGAAUCGCUAGUAAUCGUAGAUCAGCAUGCUACGGUGAAUACGUUCCGGGUCUUGUACACACCGCCCGUCACACCACGAGAGUUUGUAACACCCGAAGCCGGUGGAGUAACCUUUUAGGAGCUAGCCGUCGAAGGUGGGACAAAUGAUUGGGGUGAAGUCGUAACAAGGUAGCCGUAUCGGAAGGUGCGGCUGGAUCACCUCCUUUCU